GACGAACGCUGGCGGCGUGGAUUAGGCAUGCAAGUCGAACGGUAUCAUCCUUUCGGGGGUGAGAGAGUGGCGAACUGGUGAGUAACACGUAGGUUAUCUACCCUCAAGACGGGGACAACCCAGGGAAACUUGGGCUAAUACCGGAUGUGAGCAACUUUUAGUUGUUUGAAAGGUGGCGUAAGCUGUCGCUUGGGGAUGAGCCUGCGUCCUAUUAGUUAGUUGGUGAGGUAACGGCUCACCUAGGCAAUGAUAGGUAGGCGGCCUUAACGGGUGGUCGCCCACACUGGGAUUGAGAUACGGCCCAGACUCCUACGGGAGGCAGCAGUCGAGAAUAGUCUACAAUGGUCGGAAACUGAUAGUGCGACGCCGCGUGAACGAUGAAUCCCUUCGGGGUGUAAAAGUUCUUUUAUAUGUGAGCAGUGCUUCUUAUAUUAACAGUAUGGGGAAGAGAUAUUAGCAUAUGAAAUAAGCAAACGGCUAAACUCCGUGCCAGCCAGCCCGACGGUAAAAA
rnacentral:rRNA from 1 species